rnacentral:misc_RNA from 1 species
GUGAAUCAUCGAAUCUUUGAACGCAUAUUGCGCUCGAGACUCCGGUCAAGAGCAUGUCUGGCUCAGCGUCGUUUCACCCACUCGCCACCUUCUACUCCUCCCUUGCGGAUCGGUAGAACUGGUCGGCGGACCUGGCCUUCCCCGUGACACUUGAUCGAUCGGGGUUGGCUGAAGAACAGAGGCUUGAGCAUGGCGCCGCACCAUGGCAGCCGGCUUGGUAGGUGGCUCACGCUACAUGCCGCCGGAGGCCGCAGCGUCGUGCUGUGGAGCCCGCAGGAACCGACCGUCUGACGGUCGGAC